UACGUAGGCAGCGAGCGUUGUUCGGAAUUACUGGGCGUAAAGAGUGUGUAGGCGGUGCUCCCAGUCUGUUGUGAAAUCUCCCGGCUUAACUGGGAGGGUGCAGCGGAAACUAGAGUGCUAGAGGGUGGGAGAGGUAAGCGGAAUUCCUGGUGUAGCGGUGAAAUGCGUAGAUAUCGAGAGGAACACCUGCGGCGAAAGCGGCUCACUGGACCACAACUGACGCUGAGGCGCGAAAGCUAGGGGAGCAAACAGG
rnacentral:rRNA from 1 species